rnacentral:tRNA from 2 species
GGGCAGUUACCAGAGUGGCCAAAUGGGGCAGACUGUAAAUCUGCUGGUUGAUACCUACGGUGGUUCGAAUCCAUCACUGCCCAC